CCUGAGUGCCCUGUAGCAGCACAUCAUGGUUUGUAAGUUAUAAGGGCAAAUUCCGAAUCAUGAUGUGCUGUCACUGGGAGCCUGGG
ncrna:Danio rerio (zebrafish) microRNA dre-mir-15b precursor